ACGAACGCUGGCGGCGUGCCUAAUACAUGCAAGUAGAACGCUGAAGAGAGGAGCUUGCUCUUCUUGGAUGAGUUGCGAACGGGUGAGUAACGCGUAGGUAACCUGCCUGGUAGCGGGGGAUAACUAUUGGAAACGAUAGCUAAUACCGCAUAAAAUUGAUUAUUGCAUGAUAAUUAAUUGAAAGAUGCAAUUGCAUCACUACCAGAUGGACCUGCGUUGUAUUAGCUAGUUGGUGAGGUAACGGCUCACCAAGGCGACGAUACAUAGCCGACCUGAGAGGGUGAUCGGCCACACUGGGACCGAGACACGGCCCAGACUCCUACGGGAGGCGGCAGUAGGGAAUCUUCGGCAAUGGGGGGAACCCUGACCGAGCAACGCCGCGUGAGUGAAGAAGGUUUUCGGAUCGUAAAGCUCUGUUGUAAGAGAAGAACGGGUGUGAGAGUGGAAAGUUCACACUGUGACGGUAUCUUACCAGAAAGGGACGGCUAACUACGUGCCAGCAGCCGCGGUAAUACGUAGGCCCCGAGCGUUGUCCGGAUUUAUUGGGCGUAAAGCGAGCGCAGGCGGUUAGAUAAGUCUGAAGUUAAAGGCUGUGGCUUAACCAUAGUAUGCUUUGGAAACUGUUUAACUUGAGUGCAGAAGGGGAGAGUGGAAUUCCAUGUGUAGCGGUGAAAUGCGUAGAUAUAUGGAGGAACACCGGUGGCGAAAGCGGCUCUCUGGUCUGUAACUGACGCUGAGGCUCGAAAGCGUGGGGAGCAAACAGGAUUAGAUACCCUGGUAGUCCACGCCGUAAACGAUGAGUGCUAGGUGUUAGGCCCUUUCCGGGGCUUAGUGCCGCAGCUAACGCAUUAAGCACUCCGCCUGGGGAGUACGACCGCAAGGUUGAAACUCAAAGGAAUUGACGGGGGCCCGCACAAGCGGUGGAGCAUGUGGUUUAAUUCGAAGCAACGCGAAGAACCUUACCAGGUCUUGACAUCCCUCUGACCGCUCUAGAGAUAGAGUUUUCCUUCGGGACAGAGGUGACAGGUGGUGCAUGGUUGUCGUCAGCUCGUGUCGUGAGAUGUUGGGUUAAGUCCCGCAACGAGCGCAACCCCUAUUGUUAGUUGCCAUCAUUCAGUUGGGCACUCUAGCGAGACUGCCGGUAAUAAACCGGAGGAAGGUGGGGAUGACGUCAAAUCAUCAUGCCCCUUAUGACCUGGGCUACACACGUGCUACAAUGGCUGGUACAACGAGUCGCAAGCCGGUGACGGCAAGCUAAUCUCUGAAAGCCAGUCUCAGUUCGGAUUGUAGGCUGCAACUCGCCUACAUGAAGUCGGAAUCGCUAGUAAUCGCGGAUCAGCACGCCGCGGUGAAUACGUUCCCGGGCCUUGUACACACCGCCCGUCACACCACGAGAGUUUGUAACACCCGAAGUCGGUGAGGUAACCGUAAGGAGCCAGCCGCCUAAGGUGGGAUAGAUGA
rnacentral:rRNA from 1 species